GAUGAACGCUGGCGGCGUGCCUAAUACAUGCAAGUCGAGCGAACGGAUGAGGAGCUUGCUCCUCUGACGUUAGCGGCGGACGGGUGAGUAACACGUGGAUAACCUACCUAUAAGACUGGGAUAACUUCGGGAAACCGGAGCUAAUACCGGAUAAUAUAUUGAACCGCAUGGUUCAAUAGUGAAAGACGGUUUUGCUGUCACUUAUAGAUGGAUCCGCGCCGCAUUAGCUAGUUGGUAAGGUAACGGCUUACCAAGGCAACGAUGCGUAGCCGACCUGAGAGGGUGAUCGGCCACACUGGAACUGAGACACGGUCCAGACUCCUACGGGAGGCAGCAGUAGGGAAUCUUCCGCAAUGGGCGAAAGCUUGACGGAGCAACGCCGCGUGAGUGAUGAAGGUCUUCGGAUCGUAAAACUCUGUUAUUAGGGAAGAACAAAUGUGUAAGUAACUAUGCACGUCUUGACGGUACCUAAUCAGAAAGCCACGGCUAACUACGUG
rnacentral:rRNA from 1 species